rnacentral:lncRNA from 1 species
ACAUUCUUUAAUCUGACCCAGAUGUAGAAGGAGUAGACAAGUCUCUAGAAUGUGACUUUCUAAAGCAAUGUAUUUUCUAGAACAUAAAUUCCUUGAGAGCAGGAACUGUUUAAUUUUUGUCUUUCUGACCUUGAAGCCUAACACAGUGUAACUGCUUAAUAAAUGAUUUCUGAUUUUAAUUGAUUUGGAUAUGUGACAUCGGACAGGAUCAAUAUUUUACAAGUAAACCUAUUAUCUACAAAAGGUGUUCCAUAAGAAUUGUAUUUGUUAUUUGUUCAGAGCAGUUCCAUGGGCACUACAAAAGCAUUACCAAGAAUGUUUUCCUUAUUUGAGGAUUUUAAAUCCUCUCAAGUGGAUUACCAGUUCUAAAUUAUCUCAUCUGAAUUAUUUUAAUUUAUUAUUAUUAAAUUAUUUUCAUCUGAAAAGGAGUUGGAAUAGGAAUGAUCCAUCCUUUUAUCUUUAGGAUCAAUCUCAGUCUGGGUGACUUCACUCUACCUAUUGACUACUGGAUCUGUGACGUUCAGGAUCAGUGGUUUCUAGACAGUAUUCCUGAAAGAACCAACUCAUGAUGGAAUUUGAACUAUUUCUCCCUUGAGGUUGCUUAGAGGAAACUCUUUCCUCUGAAAAGAAAUCUGUUGAGAAUGAUUGCUCUCACACUGUUUGCAAAUCGAAACUGUGAAAGGUAAAGAAGGAUGUUGAAAGGAUUAUGCUGGAAGCAGAUAUGCAUCUUUGGUUCAUUCUGGAUGUAUUAGUCUUUUCCUGGGUAAGUAUCUGCCCUGCAGGACUAAAGUGGGGAAGGUGGGAGGACAAGAGUACAGAAAAUACUUCUUCCUUACUUCUCUGACCCUUGAUGCUGUCCACUGGUAGAUGUUCAACAGGCAAUCCAUCACUAAGCUUUUCUCUAUAUUGAACUGGCAAGGCUGGUAGAUUCCAUUUUUGAAGGGCCACCAUGGGUAUAAACAAUAUUCAGCUAGCCAGUGAGUUAGGAGCUAAACUUUCCAUUUUAUCUGUGAAUCUCCUUCACACUUUGUAAAAGAAUUCUAGGGUUUAGACUGUACUUUGUUAACAUAUUAUCAUUGAACUGGAGGAAUUCCAUAGGAACUAGAAUGACCUCCAGGAAUUGAUGCAGAAUGAGAGGAACAAAACCAGGAGAACAUUGUAUACACAGAGACUGAAACA